AGAUUUUAAAGGGUCCAAUAUAUCAGGGGUUUUAUUUUUUCCUUAUGCCGAACCUACUAAUUCCCUUGAAAGGAGUGACCUUAAGAAACACCCGGUCGCCUUUCUCAAACUCUAGGUCUCUCCUCCGGGUAUCUGCAUAACUCUUCUGCCUACUCUGAGCUGUCUGAAUGUUCUUCCUAAUUUUAACUAUUUUGGAUGUGGUCUU
rnacentral:lncRNA from 1 species